UAGGAAACAAAAGUUAUAUGUUGUAUUAAAGUCCAGCACUCUCUUCUUCAAUACAAAUUUUCGGCUCACUUGAUGAAGAUUGAGUAGUCUUCUCUGACCGGUGUCCGCUGCGAUGCACAUGCACAUCUCGACCCUUUCCUUUCCUCUUCUCUUCAGCUCCGAUGGUCUUCUCCGAUCAGCCCAACUACCAGAUUGUGUGGAUUUGGAAAUGAUUUGGAAGGGGAAGACACAAAUCUUAGAGUGAUUGUUGAUUGAUUUAAGACAAAGCCUUAAAUAUCUGUCGGAGAAAGCUAAUGUCACCGGAGAAGCUAGAUUCGCACUCCAGAAAGCUCCAGUCUCCAUUCCUAGAUCGACGGGACGAAGGCAAUAUCGACGAGCUUGGGUGAAUUUUAUUCAGCAUUUACCAAGUCUCACCAAUGUUAUGAAAUCAACACCUUUGAAGACUUCAUCAGCUCCCAGCUUGUCCUCAACCAUGACAAAUCCAAAUUGAGCUCCAUAGAGCUGAUACCACUGCCUCAAUUCAUGUCCAAGAUCAGUACCCACCCCUAUGUCCAAGGUUUUGGCAGACGACCGAGUAGACCUCCUCAGCAGCAGGAUUGACUUUUAUCCUGUUGGUUAGCCCUUUCCUUCGGAGCUGCCAAAGUUGGGAGGUAGUAAUACAUAUUCAGCUGGAUAUCUUUCUUCAAAUGUGGAAUUUGCAAUUUGAAGGGGUGUUUGAAACUGCGUCUCUACUAACUCCUUCAUGAGUGUCUCACCCCCUCUUAUCUCUCCAUCUUCUAUCCACUAUUGAUGAUCUCUCUGUUGAUCUUCAUCCCUUAUUUCUCCAUUGUGAAAUGCUGUUAUUUUAUUACCAUUGUCACAUUCCGAGGUGCUAUUGAUAGUGUUUGCUUUCUCACCCCCUCUUUCUUGAUAAUUAGAAAAUACAUUAGUUAUCCAUUCUUGUGUAGAAGAAUGAUGGAGUCCCUUAUCAACCUGGCCCCCUUGACUUCACUGGCUUGAUCAUUUACAUUGUCGUUCCCUCCAGUAGAUUCCUCAAGCUGCUCUAUUUCAUUUUCUUCGGUUAGUGCAUCAAAAGAAUUUUUGGUAUUAAUACUUGUUAUUGCUAUGCCUUUAUCCCUUUUUUUCUUGAUCAGAAUUAUGCUUGCGAGGUUCUUUAAUAUUGACUGGCUUCCAGUAUCUUCGAAUUAUUCUUCUUCUUCUUGAUGCAACUUCAUUGCCCUGCUUUUCAUUGCCACUACCUUUUUGCUCCUGAUCAGACUCCUUUUCAUUGUUCACAUUGAUAUUCCUUAGCUCUGGGUGUAGGUUUCUGCAUGAUUCAUCAUCAUGUCCAUGCAGUUUGCAUUGUUUGCAAUAUUUUGGCAGCAUAUCAUACUGUAUCUUGACCUUUUCGAGCAUAGACUCCUUUGUUGCCUCAUUAAUAAUCUCCAAUU